GUGAAUUGGCGGCGGCUACACAUGCAGUCGAGCGGUAACAGAUCCAGCUUGCUGGAUGCUGACGAGCGGCGGACGGGUGAGUAAUGCAUAGGAAUCUGCCCGAUAGUGGGGGAUAACCUGGGGAAACCCAGGCUAAUACCGCAUACGUCCUACGGGAGAAAGGGGGCUUCGGCUCCCGCUAUCGGAUGAGCCUAUGUCGGAUUAGCUAGUUGGUGAGGUAACGGCUCACCAAGGCCACGAUCCGUAGCUGGUCUGAGAGGAUGAUCAGCCACAUCGGGACUGAGACACGGCCCGAACUCCUACGGGAGGCAGCAGUGGGGAAUAUUGGACAAUGGGGGGAACCCUGAUCCAGCCAUGCCGCGUGUGUGAAGAAGGCCCUCGGGUUGUAAAGCACUUUCAGCGAGGAAGAACGCCUAGCGGUUAAUACCCGCUAGGAAAGACAUCACUCGCAGAAGAAGCACCGGCUAACUCCGUGCCAGCAGCCGCGGUAAUACGGAGGGUGCAAGCGUUAAUCGGAAUUACUGGGCGUAAAGCGCGCGUAGGUGGCUUGAUAAGCCGGUUGUGAAAGCCCCGGGCUCAACCUGGGAACGGCAUCCGGAACUGUCAAGCUAGAGUGCAGGAGAGGAAGGUAGAAUUCCCGGUGUAGCGGUGAAAUGCGUAGAGAUCGGGAGGAAUACCAGUGGCGAAGGCGGCCUUCUGGACUGACACUGACACUGAGGUGCGAAAGCGUGGGUAGCAAACAGGAUUAGAUACCUUGGUUAGUCA
rnacentral:rRNA from 1 species